rnacentral:rRNA from 1 species
AAGAUGGCGACCGGCGCACGGGUGAGUAACACGUAUCCAACCUGCCGAUAACUCUGGAAUAGCCUUUCGAAAGAAAGAUUAAUACCGGAUAGUAUACGAAUAUCGCAUGAUAUUUUUAUUAAAGAAUUUCGGUUAUCGAUGGGGAUGCGUUCCAUUAGUUUGUUGGCGGGGUAACGGCCCACCAAGACUACGAUGGAUAGGGGUUCUGAGAGGAAGGUCCCCCACAUUGGAACUGAGACACGGUCCAAACUCCUACGGGAGGCAGCAUG